UAUUGGUCAAUAGCUUAACGGCUGAACCAGCAACUUGGAGGAAUGAAGAGGGAAAACUGGUAAAAGGUGAUGUACCUACAAGUAUUAGAAAUUAAUAUGAGAUUAACUAAGUUAAUUAAAAUUCUGAGCAGAUAUUUGAUUAUGACACUAUCUGUAUAGGUCUUGACCAAGUCACGUGCCAGCAGUCGCGGUAAUACGUGGAAGACAAGUGUUAUUCAUCUUUAUUGGGUUUAAAGGGUACCUAGACGGUUAAUUAAACAAUUAAAUGUACUAAUUAACUAGAGUUUAAUGUAAGAAAGUUGAGUACUGUUAGAGUAGAGAUAAAAUUCUAGGAUACUAUCAGGAACUGGUAAGAGCGAAGGCUACCUUCAAUGUAAAAACUGACGUU
rnacentral:rRNA from 1 species